rnacentral:rRNA from 1 species
GAUGAACGCUAGCGACAGGCUCAACACAUGCAAGUCGAGGGGCAGCGGUGGAGAGAGCUUGCUCUCUUCAGCCGGCGACCGGCGCACGGGUGAGUAACACGUAUGCAACCUGCCCUUGACACUGGGAUAACCCGGAGAAAUCCGGACUAAUACCGGGCGAUACCCCUGGAGGACAUCCUCCGGAGGUCGAAGGAAGUGAUUCCGGUCAAGGAUGGGCAUGCGGCGCAUUAGCUAGUUGGCGGGGUAACGGCCCACCAAGGCAACGAUGCGUAGGGGUUCUGAGAGGAAGGUCCCCCACAUUGGUACUGAGACACGGACCAA